UCUACGGGCGACUACAGGACGGUGAACGAUGGGCAGAGCCACCCACAGACACCUCAUACCUUUUUCCCAAGUGUUUGUCUUCCCGGCAUCCCUUGCAGCUAGGCAGAUCCAGCUCUGGCCAAUGGGGUGUCAGGGAAAGUUUGACGGGCAGCAAGGGCGGUCACGUGAUCCAGCUCUGGCCAAUGAGGUGUCAGGGAAAGUUUGACGGGCAGCAAGGGCGGUCACGUGACCUAGCUCUGGCCAAUGAGGUGUAACGGGGACGUGUGCUGCGUGCUGUCUUUAAGAGGAGGAUGUGCAGCCUUCUGUCCUGAGAGUUCUGCCCGUGUGGCAGCGGCAGCCGCCUUGUCACCGUAAAGGGAAAGAAAGCCAAGUGGAUUGUAGAGCCCUUGAGCUGAUCAGAGACGGGAUGGGACUCAGCGAAGUCCUAGAGCCAGAAAACAAAGGUAGAGAAGCAGGUGAACACCAGGUGAGAUGCACUCACGUCCGUUGUCUGCAUUUGAUUGCACGACGUCAUGGAGAUGCUGAAAUUGGUCACACAGCCUCGAGUCUCAAGGCCCGGACAGAUGUGUUCUAUACACUUGUUUAAACACGGCGCUCAUUAGGAGGUAAUGCAUGUAUAGCAAGUUGAUUACACCACAAAGCAGGCCGCUUUAUCAUGGGGGCCUCUCAGGAGGCGGCGGGAGGGGCCGUCAGCUGCCGCUGUCACUCUCCCCCCCUCGGAUCUUGAGUGACGGCUGGGCCCGCCACCUCCUCGCAGGCCUGCUCGGAAGUACACAGCUUCCCGUCAGAGAGCCGCCGAGCUGCCUGGGAGGAGGUAUUAAUUGUUGUCAGCCUCCAUUUCACACCCCAGAUAACAAACGAGAGCCACCCUGGCAGUGUUUAAGGAAGAUAAACAAGUUGCCUGAGCCCCGGCAAUUAAACACGCUUGCAUAUUUAACCGAGGUGCUUCCUGUAAGAAAAGGCAGCGUGGCCCAAGUCGGGGGUGGGGGGGUGGGGGGCGCAGAGUGGUCCCCUGUCCUAUGACCUGGGAGCUGCCCGCCCUGCGGGGCUCAGAAGUGCCCCCCCCUCGUCUGCCGGCCCUCUUGGUUUCUGCAUCUCGAGCCAGACGACCAUCCAGAGUUGGGUGUGAUGUGGAAGGACUAGCGUCUCUUUUAUUUCCCAUCUCCUGGGAGAAAGGGGUUCAAGGGACAGAUUCUGAGGCCAGACGAUGAGGGCAUAGAUUCCGGACCUGCUUUCGUAAGCGGCGUGGCUUCUUCGAGCCUCAGUUUUCCCAUCCGUAAAAUGGGCCUGCUCACACUCUACAGGUCAGGUUUCGCGAGGAGGGACUGGGGCCGAAGCGUGUGGCCCCGUGCCUGGUCCGUGGUCAACGGUGAGGACGUGGGUGCUCAGCAGUCGAGGUAGUGCACUUUACUCUCAGCUUAGCAGGAGAUGGUUAGAAGCAAGAAUUCUAGGUUGUCCCCAAGCUGAUAAGGUGACGCCGUGUCUGGUUGUGAUGCUCCUUUCCUUCCCAGCCCAGAGUGGGUGAGAUGGGUUGAACUCCAUCAGGCCAGAAGCUCCCGGUGGCUGUUUUGCCUCAGGGCACAUUUAGCAGGCCCCGGAAGGAGAUAGAUCGCUACCUUCCAGAUGUUUCCAGAUACUUCUGCCCCAACCUCUAUGAGGAUCGAAUCUGCCAAACAACCCAGUUUGCUUCUCUAUUCCUUCUCCCCUUCCUCUUCCUCUUCACCUUCCUUCUCUUCUCCGGCCCCCCACCCCCAACCUUCUUCUUUAACUUGACUCUAUAGUGACGUUGUGCAUCCUCCAGCCUCUAUUACCUUGUCCCUUCAUUCCCUGCCCAGGGGUGCCCUUCUCUGCACCCUGAUGUUUAAACUACAAGACGAACCGGAGGCGGCUGGGAUGGAAGUUCUCUGUGUCUCUGUGUCGCUGUCCUUUUGUCCUGGUUGUGCAAGUCCCAGCCGUCUCCUCCCUCUUGUCAUGGCGCCUUUGCAUAUGCUGUUCCCUCAGCCUGAACGGCUCCUACUCAGACCCUCAUCCCUCCAGACAUCCCAGCUACCACUGGCCCUUUUCCAACCCGCCAGACUGGGCACGUGCCUCUAUUUUGGGUUGGUGCUUUUCCUUCGUAGCAUCUCUCAGAAUAUUCAUUAUUUGAGAAACUAUCUGCUUCCUGUCCCUCUUCCAAUGAAGCCGGGGUCUGUGUCUGUGUCAGCCACCCUUAACCCCAACACCUAGGGUGCUGCUUGUAGGUGCUCGAAAGGGGUGUGGCCCACUACAGUGACCCACUGGGAUGAACCAGACCAUUUUUCCAGGGGAUCUGGAGAGAGAGAAAGUCCUUAUGAUUUCUCACGGCCUCUUUUGUCUUUUCUUUCUGUGACUCCGCGAGGCUCCUCCUGCUCCUUUGUGUCCAUUUCGUUGUCGCAGAAAGAGGGAUGGAGGGGUAAAGUGGACCUCCCUCAGCUAGAUGCUUCUGGGGCCCCUUCCGGGGACCGGUGAGUCACAGCUUUUCGCCUCUGUCUUGCUGACACCAACUGCUGGAGAACCCACAACGAUUUGUCCUUGGACAAUGCAAAAAGGAUGUGGCUCUGCCUUGUGGGUGCCUUUGAGGGAGGCGGGACCUCCAUUUAUUUGUCUCCACAGCUGCUUCCUCUGGGCUUUGUGGUUGCCUGUGUGUCGCCUUCUCAUCCGAUCGCGUUACCCUUAAUAAGCAUCGCCCUGGCAGGAGAGGGGUGCCGAAUUCGGUAUCCUGAGAGCAUGUGUGUGUAAUGUGCCGGGCAAGUGACCCUAAUGAUGCGUUCAGCAACACCGCUCCCCCCCCCCCACCCCAGACCCGGCUUCCAGUUUGCCCAAAUCCAUUUAUAUUCCCGCUCAGACCUUUGGGAUCAAAAUUCCUGACCCUUGUGCGAAAAGCAAAAACACCUUUCAAAAAAAAAAAAAAAAAAAAAAGGAAAGAAAGAAAGAAGAGGGAGGUGAAAUUUCCUGAGCUUUCAUUUCCCUUCAUGGUUGAACUUGGAUGACUCAAGUCAUGUGCAGUCAAUCUAUUUAGCUGACUUGUCCUGCCGUCUGCCAGGAGGUCAACAUUUCUGGAUCUGCCCCUCCGGGGGCAGCAUGUGGUCCCAGCUGGUUGUGCCGUGGUGGGAACGAGGCUUGGAGGGGCCGUGUCGUCUGGAAGCUGUGUUGGGGGCUCUUCUGUGCUCCGCGAAGAUGAGACUUCGCGGGCAAGUGCUUUUGUUUGCUGUUUGUUUGGGCUGGGUGGGAUUAGCUCCGAUUACAUAUUAAUAACCCGGAGCGCUAUCUAGUAAUUAGAUGUUAUCUUCCAGAUGUUUAAAAGAAACCUUUAAUAUUUUAAGCUGCUUGGAGAUCUCUAGGCACGUUAUUAAAAUGGAUGGAAUUUAAAAUGGGCGUCGGUGGUGUUCCCUUUCUGUGGAUUCUCCUGCCAGUGUAAGACCUGGGAGCCCCGGGUACCCAUGAAAGGACCCCAAGCAUUUAUUGUGGUGGCCCCUGUUUGGGAACAAUUGGGGCAGCCACCCAAUCAAUGGGUGGUAGAGGGAAUGUCGCGGCACUUCUGGCCCCUGUCAAUCGGCCAGAGCGCCUCAUUGAUUUCUUUGAACCACUUGAGUGAAUCUCUCAGAAGUUCCCCUUCUCUGAGUCCCACACAAUUGCCUGUUCUCUCUUUAUUAGGCGCUUUGAGGGACAGCCUGGUCUACACCUGCCUUUGAUGGGGCCCCCACCACAGUUUUAAUGACCUCCAUCCGUCAAAGGAAAAGUUCAGAGUUCACUCUUUUGUCCAAGUCCCAGCAACUGAGGAGUCCAGGGUGCUGGCUGGUCCGGCCUCCUUAAAUCACCCGCCCGAAAACUUUCCCUGUGACCCCGCUCAUGUCAAAACAGCGAGCUGGCCACUCUGGCCAUUGUCAUCGGAAUAAGGGCUAAGUGAUGCUGCUUGGUCAUUACGUGUGCCCUGAUUGGCAAUCAGGGUACAAUAGGGGGUCAUUAAAGGCCAUAAAACUGCCAAAGCUCUGAAAGGGGGAUUUUGAAUGGAGCCAGAGGGCUCUGGGAGCCUGCCUGAGCAGCGCCUCCAAGGAGAAGGGGUUUGAGCCGACCUGGGAGGGGAAAAGUCAGCGCGGUGUGGAUUAAGAAGUUUCUCCCCUGUGACACCAGAAAACACUGAUCUCCUGACGUCACCUUCCCAGAAUGCCUGUCCCUGCGUUCCCAAAGGAGAUUCGCUCGGAGCAACAACCCGGAUCACGCUCCAUGAAAAGAAUCCCGGAGGCACAAGUCUUUAUAUAAGGAGCUAAAAGUGACUCAUAAAUAUAUAAAUGCUUAUUGAAUGAAAGCACCAGCGGGUGAAGAGGGUCGCCUACAUGGUGACGGAUGGUGGCUGGGCACGUGGUGGUGAUCGCUGUGCAACGUAGGCCACACGUCAAGUUAUACAGCUGGACAGCUGAAACUUACACGAUAAGAAAACAGUCAACACACACAUGCGUAAAUGCGAAGGCUCCGGGGAGUGAACGGGCGGCUGUUAACUUGCACCAGGGCCUGUACUGGGCGCUCCACAGGUGUUAACUUGGUUAAGCCCCACACCCACCCAGGGGGGCAGGUUAACACGAUUAUAGCUGUAAAAGGCUUCCAUGGAAAGGAACCGUAAACUGACAAGGGGAGUCCUUCCUCUUAGGAUGGUGGCAGGCUUAAGGGUUACAUUUGCUGAGUCCCUCACUAUGUGCCAGGCACGGGUGGCUUCUCACCGAAUUGUUAAGUCAAAACCACGGAGUUCGCACUAUCGCCUUUCCUGUUUCGUAAGAAUUAACAACUCAGGAACGGGAGCGCAAAGAAGGGUGCCGUGGAGGGGGUCGCCCAUUCCGUCGGGAUGGCCGCCCCGCCGAUGCGCCUGUCCACAGCCACAGGGGGACGCUUCCCCAGCACUGCCGGCCCCUCUGGGCUCAAUGGCUGGGUCAGACGUGGUGCAGGAAUCUUGGGGUAGGCCUCCGCGGAUGCGGGGCCGACACUCUGCCCUGCUGUGCAGCCUUGGGCAAGUCACUCCACCUCUCUGAGCCUCAGUCUUCUCAGCUGAAACGUGGCUGAGUUGGAGUAGCUCCGAGCUUCUCAAACUAGGCCCUUCCCCACCCUGGGAGAAGGCCAGGAGCCACAUGGGGGCCGUCACUUGAGAUCAUCUGUUUUAUUCCAAGGCAAGUAAUUAAAAACAUUAUUUUUCUGUUUUCUCAGAAACAGAUAUAUUCUGCAGUAGAAUGCAACCCCCCGUGAAAAAAUUUUUUUAAUGUGUAUUUUUGACAGAGAGACAGGGUGCGGGUGGAGGAGGGGCAGAGAGAGAGGGAGGCACA